rnacentral:rRNA from 1 species
AGUGAACGCUGGCGGUAGGCCUAACACAUGCAAGUCGAACGGCAGCACAGUAAGAGCUUGCGCUUACGGGUGGCGAGUGGCGGACGGGUGAGGAAUACAUCGGAACCUACUUUUUCGGGGGGGAUAACGUAGGGAAACUUACGCUAAUACCGCAUACGACCUACGGGUGAAAGCAGGGGAUCUUCGGACCUUGCGCGAAUGAAUGAGCCGAUGUCGGAUUAGCUAGUUGGCGGGGUAAAGGCCCACCAAGGCGAGGAUCCGUAGCUGGACUGAGAGGAUGAUCAGCCACAUUGGAACUGAGCCACCGUCCAGGCUCCUACGGGAGGCAGCAGUGUGGAAUAUUGGGCAAUAGGCGCAAGCCUGGCCCAGCCGGACCGCGUGGGUGAAGGAGGCCUUCGGGUUGUAAUGCCGUUUUGUUGGGAAAGAAAAGCAGCAGGUUAAGACCCCGCUGUUCUGACGGUACCCAAUGAAUAAGCACCGGCUAACUUCGUG